UACGAAGGCCACAAGCGUUAUCCGGAUUUAUUGGGCGUAAAGCGCGUGUAGGGGGUUCGGUAAGUUUCUGGUUAAAUCUUAGGGCUCAACCCUGAGCAUGCCAGAAAUACUGCCAGACUAGAGGGCGUUAGAGGCAGAUGGAACGCACGGUGUAGGGGUGAAAUCCGUUGAUAUCGUGCGGAACACCAAAGGCGAAGGCAUUCUGCUGGGACGUUCCUGACCCUGAGACGCGAAAGCGUGGGGAG
rnacentral:rRNA from 1 species